rnacentral:rRNA from 1 species
UACGUAGGGUGCGAGCGUUGUCCGGAAUUACUGGGCGUAAAGGGCUCGUAGGUGGCCAACUAAGUCAUACGUGAAAUCCCUCGGCUUAACCGGGGAACUGCGUCUGAUACUGGAUGGCUUGAGGUUGGGAGAGGGAUGCGGAAUUCCAGGUGUAGCGGUGAAAUGCGUAGAUAUCUGGAGGAACACCGGUGGCGAAGGCGGCAUCCUGGACCAUUCUGACACUGAGGAGCGAAAGCCAGGGGAGCAAACGGG